rnacentral:rRNA from 1 species
AUUGAACGCUGGCGGCAGGCCUAACACAUGCAAGUCGAGCGAGCGGCGGACGGGUGAGUAAUGUAUGGGGACUGCCCGAUAGAGGGGGAUAACUACUGGAAACGGUAGCUAAUACCGCAUACUAUCGGAUAACCCAUAUGGGAUUAGCUAGUAGGUGAGGUAAUGGCUCACCUAGGCGACGAUCCCUAGCUGGUCUGAGGGGAUGAUCAGCCACACUGGGACUGGGACACGGCCAAGACUCCUACGGAGGCAGCAGUGGGGAAUAUUGCAAAAGGGGCGCAAGCCUGAUGCAGCCAUGCGGCGUGGAUGAAGAAGGCCCUAGGGUUUGAAAGUACGUUCAGUCGGGAGGCGUGACCGACAGAAGAAGCACCGGCUAACUCCGUGCCAGCAGCGGCGGUAAUA